UGAUUGACGACCACAUAAUCG
rnacentral:piRNA from 1 species